AUGAGCUCGUCGGCGGCCAAGAAGGGAGUGUCGAUGGUGGUGGCUACGAGCAUGGCGGCGGUGGAGGCGCUCAAGGACCAGGCGGGGCUGUGCCGCUGGGACUACGCGCUCCGCUCACUCUACCACCGCGCCGUCGUCACCGGCCGCCGCGCCGUCCCGGCGUCCCUCUCCUCCUCCUCCUCCUCCCAGGCCGCCGUAGGCAGGGCUGCCCGGCCAAGGCGGUCCGAGGAGGAGAAGCUGCACAAGGCGUACCACAUCGUUUGCUGGGGGCCAAACUGA
rnacentral:rRNA from 1 species